GAGUAUGCCAUAUAUCUCGUGCUAAUCGUCGAAAGCUGCAAUAGACGUUUCGUUCUUGAUGUUCUUGUUGCUGUUGGCAUCUGAUUUCCGGUGUUCUCGAUACUUGCAUUGUUCUGGCCCAGCGGGAGGGUAGCCCCUUUGCAAAAUUAACGUUCCACCACUAUUUACGCGACUACUGGCCGAUUCUUAUCGGAAUCGAAUCUUCUCUCCUUCUUGUGCCUUUCUCGAAAUCGAUUAAUUGCUCGCUCGACAACGAAGGUCGGCCGAGAUUGGUGAUUCGGGGACGACGAACUCGAGUUCGUCUGCCGACUGAGUUCCCACGUGUCUAUUCUCCAUAUACUGGGUGUCGUAAAACGUACGAUCAAAAGUGUGUAGUAUUAAUGUAAGCAAUACAGAGAUGAUAUUUAAUAUUUGCGUUCUAAACGAUCUUCUACGCAAAUGUCGUUUUAUAAAUAUUUAUAAAAUAACUUUUAGAGAGAUAACUCGGUAGUCGAGAGGACUUCAAUGUUUGUUUUCUCAGAAAUAAGGAUAUUUGAAGUCGGUAAACAAUCAAAUAGUUUUAUCGAGUAUUAUAAUCUAAAUAUUUUACCUAUACAUAUAUUUUUAUAUGAUAUUCAUACAUAAUACUUUUGUGUAUUAUGUACAUUGCAGGCAUUUUUGUAUCUCUUUUAUUUCCUAUGGAUUUCACAGCCUACUUAUUAUUUUAAACACAAUUUGUCGAUGAUGGCGUUAUGGUCAUAGAAAGAAAUCAAGUAUACUUUUUCCAAAUAAAAUAAAGCACCGUUCUAUGAACCACUCAAGCAAACCACAUUUCAAUAAAUUGAAGAUAUCUAGAACGAUAUCGCCUCAAACGUUCUCUUCUAAACGUUCAACGCCAAUUUAAUACCAAUCUUUCUAAACACUCUAUGUACAUGUAUAGGUCGACGAACGAGACAACUCGCACGAAACAGGGCCAUGGUAUUGCGCAUCGAAUACACAAAAUUCGAGCAGGCCCGGUGUCACAGCCGUUUCCAGCUCGUAUCGUUACUCAGGACGGAUUACACGGGCGUAAAGAUUUCCGGGCGUAAAAAAUAAGGAAGCGAAGCGGCCAGAAGCGGCGACGUUACGAGGCGAAUCGUGUGCUGAUACGCACCUGUCCCGUACCGGAGCCAAUCACAGCGUCCUAACGAACGAAGAAGCCCUUUUUGCGGCCAGAACCUUUUUCUCUUUCUCUGCCCCUUUUCACCCUGCUUUCUUUCUCGUUCUUCUCAAUCGUGCUGCCAGCAAAUUACCAGCGAGUUGGCGCGGAAUUCGCAAGAGUCGAACGGGCCUGGCAAUCGCACGCUUCUAAUUAACGAAACUGCGUCCUUUCUCUACUUUUGUCCACCUCGUGUGUUACAUACUCGUUGAUUAAAGCCGCAAUAUAUCGGCUAGCUAAGCUAAGUUAUGCUAUGUUAAAUAUACAAGUAUUAGCUUCAAUAUACGGAACCGUCUUCACUAAAAAUUAAACUAAACCAUUAGCCUGAUUUUUAGUUGACUUCUGAUACUUUCCUGAAAUUACUGGUUAUCUAAAUAUGGAGAUAUCUUCAUAAUACAGCAGUCUUUCUUCAAUUUUGUUUCUUCUUUUGUUCUUUCUGUUUUGUUGUUGUUUCUUAACAAAGUUUCAAUGAAAAUCCUGAUUUGUGCAUUAGAAUCAGUUUGUUCGUCUACCGAUGUGAGAAAGUUAUCAACAGACUACAGAUUUUUAUACAAAUUUACAUCUUUAUGAAUGCAAAUAAAGCAGAAGGCAAAAAUUAUAUUUUACUUUGGCUAUUUUACGUAUCUUUCGCGCCUUUAUAUUUCAAAAUAAAAUUACAGUAAAAAUUCACAGUCUAGUUUUGAUGGAUAAAAUUAAAAUUGUUGUGUGCGGUCAUGACAUCCGACAAAAUCGACGUCCGCUUGCGACAGUCGUUUUAGCGCACUUUGUGCCCUUGGUUUUACGUGGCGCGUUUGAGGAAGGACGGCUGAAAAUCUGGUUCCUGCGAGAAAACGUACUGUUUAUCGGCAUCCGUUACCAUCCGCAGACUAGGAAACGAUAAUGGCCACCGUUUAAACGUCAGACACCCUGAUUUUGCGGAAAUGAGUGCGAUUAAUACGCACGUUGAACGCAAAGUAUUGUAUCUCGGGAGAUUCUGUCCUCUUUUUUCUUUUUCUCUUUUUUUUUUUUGAUGGAAUUAUUCAGGUUGCGCUUUUAAAAUGUAUUGCGCUUGCGUCCUUCACUUCUCAAGCUUAAAAUGUGUUUGAUUCUUCGAAGGAUUCUCAUGAGGUUUUGGAAGAAUUUUUGAAUGAAUCGUGGAUAGCGCUGGAUGAAUAAUUUGUGAAGUUAGCCAGGUAUUUUUGAAAUUUAGAAAUUUUAAAGAAUCAUUGUCGAUUAUUUUAAGAAGGUUUUCAAAUGUAUUGCGCUUGCGUCCUUCACUUCUCGAGCUUAAAAUGUGUUUUAUUCUUCGAAGGAUUCUCAUGAGGUUUUGGAAGAAUUUUUGAAUGAAUCGUGGAUAGCUGGAUGAAUAAUUUGUGAAGUUAGCCAGGUAUUUUUGAAAUUUAGAGAUUUUACAGAAUCGUUGUCGAUUAUUUUAAGGAGGUUUUCCAAAACUUACAUAAAACGUUUGAAGCUUUUAAAGUUUGAACAGAUGUAACAGAUAAACAGAACGAUAAAAAUUAAUUCUUAAGACUACGAUAAGAUAAUAAACAAUUCCUUAGCUUCCAAGAAGUAAUCGAAAGCGUCACGUCUGCUACAAUGUUACUAUAUAAUGACGUUACGUAUUUGUUGCUAUUCAUGAUUCUACAAUAACGUUAUUUUACAGGGUUAUUGUCAGUGAUAUUCAAAACGUAGUGAUAUGGAAAUUUCGAGGAAACAGGGUACGUCAAAACAGGUGCUGAUAUGCAAUUGUUAUAGAAACACGUGCAUUCGAGAAUCUUCAUUAUUUCCAUUUCUAUUCUUUGAAUCUUUGAGCAUUCAGAUGUAAUGUUAUCCUAAUUCUUUAUUUGUUAAAUGUUUUGCACCUGCAGUUGCAGCUUUUCGUAAUAACGAUAGAUAACGUUAUUGUAGAAUUGUAGUCAAUAUGAUAAUCAUACGAUAGAUAUGGUCGUUAUCAUUCGGCGGGUGUUAAAUAAUUCUGAAUUUCAAAGUGAAUUCAAUCGAGUGAAAUGAAUUUCGUCAAAUCCCGAAGUUCGAAAGUUUGAAAAGUCAAAAUUUCAAAGUUCAAAGAAUACAAAAUUCUAAGAUCCGAAAAUUUAAAAAACAGAAUUAAAAAAAAAAAGAUUUAAAAUUUCCAAGUUUGAAAAAUCGAAGAUACGUGCUACCAAAACUACAGAAAUUUAAAAAUUAGUCUUAAAGCAAAUUGCAGUAAGUACCACAUUAUAUUAGUACCAUAUUAUAUUAUACUACUUUCUUCUCUGUAUAUCCACACACACGCUCAUAUAUAUGUCGAAUUAUCAUUAGGGUUAGGGGCGUUUAACGAAUCUUCAUUUGGAUUAGCCAUUGUUGUUAUACCAUACAGAUGAUAGUUAAUGGUACAAAUAUGAUUAUUACAGAAUUUGACAAUUAACCGUGUCGAUUGGAUACUCGAGAUGCUAAUCACAAUAAUCUUAGGUUCAAUAACGAAUACACGGUCAACAGGAUAAUAAAUGCGCUUACUUCUCCAAAGUGCAAGUGCGACUGAACUCAAUUGUCCACGGUCCAAGUGGAACUCCUCCUGUACCUUUCUAUGUACCUCUUUGUAUCCCUUGGGUCGACUAUAUUUUUAAGGAGAGUUAUGUCACUUCGAGCCCAAGCCCACUGUCAUAAAUCUCGGCCAAACAUACUCCGAUUAGAAUAUAAACAAAUAUUUCUCAGUUUUAUUAUUCAAGUACAGUUAUAAAGAAAAGUCUGGACUAAAGUAUUGCGGACCUUCUCAAUUAUUCCAAAAGAAUAAGGCCCCGAUGUCCUUUCAUUUCCGACAUAUAUAUGUCGGGUCAGAGUUGCAACUUUGGGCAUUCGACGAAUCUUCGCUCGAAUUGACCAUCGUGGUUAUGCAUUCUAGCUGAUCGUUACUGGUACCGAUGUGAUGAUUACAAGAGGUUACAGGUAAUAACGGCAAUCGGACAAACGAGAUGUCGAUGACAAUGAAUUUAGGUUCGACACGAAUCCACGGCUAACGGAAAGACGCGUCCGAUGUGAUACGCGAUGCUGGUGUGCCUCAACGUACAAGUAGUACUUCUCUCGAUAACUCUCUGUCGGUCCAAAUGGAACUGUCCUUGUAUAGUCCUCUCCCCACCUCUCGGCUCGAUCUUUGUUUUUAAGGAGACCGUGGUUACGUUCGGUGACUCCUUAUGUCACUUCGAGCCCAAGCCGAUCAUAAUAUAUCGUCAUAAAUCUUGAGCACCCAUAAUCGGAUUAGAACAUUACAACUAUUUCUUAGUUUUAUUUCUUAAGUGUAGCUAUAAUAAAAAUCCGACUUCGGGUAUUGAGGGUUUCCCCAACCAUUUCAAAAGAAAGGCCCCGAUGUCUUUUCAUCUCCGACAUAUAUAUACCUGUUUAGUUAUUUUUAAAUAGUUACCUGAAUUAUAUAAGCAAAACGGACUAACCAAACUUCGAUACAGCUUUACAUUUCGCGAACACUGUUUCUUAUGUCUGUUCAUCUCGCGUGCAGACCACAUUGCAGUGACGUAAUUGGAAAAACUUAAUCGGACAUUCUACCGUUAUCAAUCGCACAUACCAAGAAACAUACGUACGGAAGAAACAGUUGCAUAAGAAAGCAAGAUACGCGGAGAAGAAAUUGCGUUUCUAACAGCUGUUUAGUGUAUCGCGAAGCAGGCUGGAUCGGUUUGGCUGAAACGAAGAAGCCAGUUUCGCGAAUAACGCGCGAGCAUGGCGCACAGGGUAGCAGAGAUUUUACGAUAGCAAUUAUGAGGUUGGAAGAGUUUAAUAGUACCGGCUAUAAGUCUGCCGGUAAUUGAAAGGACCGUUUUUUUCAUCGAGAAUUGACGCGGUUCGCAGAUUGCCUCUAACCAGCGCCGCGAUCUCCGUUAAUUUCCGGUAAGAUGGAGUUUUUCUGCGAAGCCGGCGAACAAAUCGACGCGCCCGCUGUAUUGUAAAUCAGCGUAAACGAUCGUGAUCGUCCAGCGCGUUUUCGAACGGAUUCAUGGGCCAAUUUGUCGAAUGUGAUAUACGUGAACCAAGCGUUUCGUUUCUUAUCGGUUUUUUUAGCUUGUAGCUUGAGCAACGAGUUUGUUCGAGUUGCUUUAAAAGCCCGUUAACGCUAUGCAGAAAUAUCGAAGAACAACUUUGUUCUCUCUCUUUAAAUGGAAUGCAACUUUUACAAAAUUGUAUUUCUCGUAACAAGGCUCGAUGUAAAACGUCGAAUGUAAAUAUGUUAACGAUCAAGGCAGUUGAUCUUUGAAAAACGACAUUAUUCUUGAUUGGUAUAACGUAGAAGUUGCUUGAAUAUGAGAGUUAAAUGAUUCAUUUCGUACAACAUAUCUGUACGCUGAAAACGAAACGAAGCACUAAGUAUUUCAAGGAAUAAUCGGCACUGAUUCGAAACGCAGAAGCAGUUGAUAUUUUUCUACCAGUUCAAUCACAAAUUGUUGAACAUAUAAUUAUACCUGUACUUAAUCACGAAUAAUACCACACCAUAUAUCCGGACUAUCAUUAAUACUAUUAUCGACCUCAGAGGAAGACAAACCCACAGAAACCGCAGAAGAAGAGAAUGGAAAGAGCAUGGAAUGAAAUUGGUGUAGAGCAAAAGAUACGCUUUCGUCGUUGUAAAUGAUAUUCAUCUUGCGAUGUUAUUAGCAGAGGACGCGGUAUCCACAACAGUAACCUUGUCGUUCUCUUGGUUUAUAUUUCCAUAGAUAUUCGACAGUUUUAUCUUGUUUGAUCUUCUAAUUGCUUUGAACAGCGUAUACGACAAAUACUCGAGAAGGAAUCGUAGAGAAAGGAAGGAAAAGGAAGAUGGAAGAGUGAAUGGAAUCGGUAGAAGAGAGAAAAGGAGAGAUAAAUUGGACAGAAAAAGGAAGAAGUGGUGUGUAUGGCAGAUGGUCAGAAAUCAUAGAAAAAGAAAAGGACGAGAGCGAAGAUGAAUGAAAAGGAAAGAAGAGGAAAUUCAGAAGAAAAAGAGCGAAGGUUACUGCGCCGAUGUAUGCAAAUUUUACACGAGCGUCGAUUUAAGCAGGCGCGGCGCGCCAGUCUGUAUAAUAGCGAGUAAACACGGCGUGUUUAAUACGCAUCGCGGAUGGAUGGAACGCGUAUGGCUGCGCGGUAAUUAGAAACGAGGCGAACGCUUGGUAGGCGUAGGCGAUAGCGAUCGCACACGAGCCAACAACCAAAGAAGAAGAACGCGGUCCGUGCGUGAAUAUUCAAGCUCCGCUAUGCUUCGUAGGAUAGCGGUCACCUGCCGCACAGGUGCCCCCUACUCCUUCGCUACCUCGUAAUUCAACCUUCAGGCCGAUCCUUACCAGCAGUCACUUCCAGGUGUUGAACAGAGAGCGUUACCCGAUUUCCGUUUUAUCUUCGCUCUGCCCCUCGCCCUUAUCUCUGUCGCUUUAUCUAGCGUCCCCGUGCGGCUCCCUUUUCACGUUUUUCCAUCUUACUUUUCCCCUAUUUUAAAAUGUACACCGAUACCGCCUACUAUUAGUCCUGCGACGUUACACGGCGUAACGAGUAAUUUAUGAAACGAGCCUCGAUCGGAAAAUACUGUUUCAAUUUGGUAUUUACAUCUUUGAUCGGAUAUCUUAUUCGAGAUUAAGGUGCGUGCUUAUCUUCGUGAUGGAGCGAAAUAACGAGAAGAAAGCGAAUAUGUAAUUGAAUAUGUUGAGAUAGUAGGUAUCAGAUAAACAAGUAAAUGCGACGAGGUGCAAAUAUAUUUUUGUAGUUUCAUUUUUACAUAGCUUGGUUAUGUAAAUGGUAUACUUGUUUCAUAUCCUGCUGGUACAUUGUUGGUUGACAAUUUGGAAUCAUUCUUCAAAUAUAUACAGAUAUAUAGAAAUAUAUACUGCUAAUAUAUACAGAUACGACGAUACUGAUCGUUAUUCUGAUAGAGUUUGAUGGAAUUUUCUCAAGGUAAUAGUAUUCCAAGUUGGCUCUUCUUUAAACUCUUCGCUGUAAUACAUACCAAGGAAUGUACUCGCGUUUGUACGUGUAACGAGUUCAUUCUACUGAAUUAGCGAAAGUAGAAGUCGCGGAUUAUUCCUUCGUUUCACAAAUUACUUUCUAAAUCGUAAACUACGAACACGCCACUGCAAAUAACCACCACAGAUUUCAUCUUUUUUGUCCGUAAAAGAUAACUAUAAAAUCGGUCAAGUGACAAAUGGCCGGGGAAAUUAAUUAAAGUCUAUCUAAACGAUUAGCUCUAUGAUUUCGUUUCUCGAUAGCUUUGUACGCUCGGUAGUUUCUCGUUAUUUUACGACUUAGGCGUUAAUGAGCAAAGAUACAGAUUCUCUUUUAAGCACCGGAUAGUCGUAAAAAUCAGAAAAGUAACAUGAAUAUACGAAAAGAAAAAUGAUACGAGAUGGCAAAAAUUGGGAGCAAAUUCUCGAGGAGCAACGAAAACACGUUCCAACCGAAGAAAUGCGAACGUGCAGGAACCAGCGAAUUCCUUUGACGCACCGACACCAUACGGGAAACAUCUGUUGGUGCACAGGGUUGGUGCACGUUUUCGCAGAAUAUUCCGUUCACCGAGAGGACAAUGUCACAUUUGCUACAUUUUCUGCGGUUUGCCCCGGCAAUCUCGACUCGAUCUCGAUAGCUGUGUACCUUUUUUACACUCCUUGUGAUCUUGGUUUAUGCGGUUCGAAUCAUUUUUGCGUUCUCUUUUUUACGGUAGCGUGACCAUAGUCUUUCGGCUAAUAACAGCCUCGAUAUACAUACAAAUUAUAUUAACACACAUAUUUGCUUCUAUCGGAGGAAAGAUAUUUUCCAUAUUUGUUUACAUGAGAUUAGGAAAUUAUAAUUUUUAACACUUUGACGAGCUUGUAAUAUUUGCCAGUUGAAAUAACUUACAAAAGAGCUUAAUUUAUUGAUCAAUGAGUCUUCGAUUUACAUAUUAAUUGAUCGAAUAGCAAAUUCUAUAUUCGAACGUCAUUCGGUACGAAGCGACGAAGAUUUUUCAGAACUGUUCAGUUAUCAGUCGAUUGGCUAUUUUUGCUUCUUCUUCUCGAAAUUCGUAUGGCGUUUGUAGGAAAUUCAUUAAUCCUAUCGUGAAGACAAAAGGAAGGAAAAAGAGCCGAUUAAGAAGACAAACGAAGGAAAGCUGUUUGAAAUACGUUGUAACGUAUUCUCAAGAUGAUCUGGUCGAAUUACUCUUUCUUUAUGGUAUUAGCAGGCUGCAAGAGCGGGGGAUUCGUAAUCCUCUUUUACCACUCUUGCUCUUCAACAGCCGGUGAUCCUUCACGACUGCAGCCAGGAUAUACUCGGCUGGACAAAAAAUUAGCGCACGGCUUACGUAAGCCUCGUUUGUUUAGGAUAAAUCGUCUGCUAAUAUCAUAAUUUCCUUUAUUAUUAAUUUACACACACUUGUAUAUCUACUUUGAGGGGUUGAUUCGAAUAAUAACGAGAGUAAGAAGUAAAGAGUCGAUCGAAAAUGUAAUUAACAGAAAACCGGUUCUUCUGAAACAUUGUGAAAAUGUUAUAGGCAAAUCGAAUAGACGCGAUAAGUCUGAGAUAUAUUAGAAAAUAAGGAAAAUGCAAUUGUACGCAAUACGCAUAAUAAGAAUUGCCUGCGUUAAAUGUUCAAACACUCGUCUAUCAAAACAACAUUGUAAACGAAGAAUAUAUAUAGAUCUAUUCAGACAGCUGCUAGAAGAAUCAUAAAACGUAGGAUUAAAUUCUGCGUCAUAGAAGGACACAUGUAACGACAGAAGAAACCGUGUAAUCAAGCAAGCAACCAAACAAUGCCCCGUUUUCUGAAACAAAAAAGGUUCGCGUCGUUUGCCGGCAAAUAGCUCUUGUUCCUAUCGAAGCCAUUCCUCGAGGCAAUGCGAAAGAAGAUAUCGUGCGUACGCGACUCGAUUUCAUAUCGCACGACAAAUUGUCAUUGUCCGCGCAUACGGUCGGUGUUUCUGAUGCAAAUGGCUUGGUUAUUAAUGUUGCGAAGAAGGCAAGGCGAGACACGCGGAUGCAAGUGCGACACGCGAGGCCCGCUGCAGUUUCCUUUGGCCGGGCCACGUGCCACACUGCGAGUUACGAAACCGUGCCCUGAGAGACAACUAUAUUACACCGUAUUCUUAAGCCGUUACGUAACUGUCGCAUGGGACGCGUUCCUCAAGUCCGUUUCGUGGUUGAUGUCGUUUUUAUUUAAGUUGUAAGUUAUAUACAGUAGGCAACAAAAAUAGGAUAAAAUUUUGUUCGAAACACUGUUUCGGAUAACGUAUAGUUUAGAAGAGAUUAUGCGGUAGAUCGAUCGUACUUGACAAAGUAUUUAUUAAUAUGUACGAGGAUGACAAGAGGAGACGAUGAUUACAAUUUCACUGUAGCUUUUGUAGGAAAUCGUCGUUCAGUGGUUCUUGAGAUUUUGUGCAAUUAUAGCGACGUAGGUGUUGCUCGAGUCUCCUGAGCCUCAAUCUUGAAAUUCAAUGUUAAACUUGGCGCAGAGAAAUCGAAUUCUUUGUAUGCUGUGAGGCAUAAGAAAGAGACAUAAAGUACACAGAAAAUGAUAUACGAAGAUAAAAAUAUCUGAUGGAAAAAAAGCGGUGUGCAGGUAGUUAGAAUAAGUUUGACCAAAAUAUAAUAGAAAGAUGAAUAUAAUAUAAUAGUAGUAUAUGAAAUGGUCAGCACUCGAGUGUCGCAUUGCGAGAGAGUUACCUGUGUAUAUUACAAUUUGAAAGCGCUAAAAGGAAUAAAAGGGACACGGCAUGCCGAGGUUACUAUUAUCAUACAAUAUCGAUAUUAAUAUUUGAAUCAUACAGCUAUAGGUUUCUCAUUACACGCAUAACCAAUACUUACGUUAAUGACUCGUUCCAUCUUCUUGUCCUAGCCUGCCAAGCCCAGCACUUUUUUUUUCUUUUUUUUUUAAAUAAAAUUAGAAAACCAAAAGCCAGCGAUCUUCACCACUGUACUUAUCAUGGUGUCCCGCGUGAUCGCGAUCCCUGAACCGGUCACAAUUAAAACUAACGAUGGGGCGCCGCCGGAAUUACGGAAAGCGUAAUAGAUUUUGAUAACAAGCUUGCAGCCGGCCGUUCCCGCAGAUUUAUACGUCCCGAGGCGAACGAUUGCCGGCGAAGAUCGACCGUGAUCCUUAAUAAUCGUCGAUAAUCGGCCGCGUAAGACGAUAAUUAGGUAUAGAAUAACCGUGGCUAAGUAUACGCUCCGGCUACGCAUCUCCCUCGUUUUUCCUCUACACACUGUCGCUUCAGCGGGUAUAUCUCUGUCUGCGUGACGCGUUUAGGGAUGAAUCGUGAAAAAGAGAGAUACCCGGCGACGGUGGCCAGCCGUUUAAUUAGUUGGCUUAACGACGCGAAAGUACAGAGGGCCGCUGGUUCUGGCCGUGGUUUCGAACCGCUUAAAUCAGGAGAACUUAUCAGGCCACCGCCGCGUUUACCGGCCAAGCAUUUAGUUUAAAUUAGCCGCGGCUCGCUCGCGCCUCGGGGAUAAAUCGACGAAAUCAUACACCUUGGUACAUUCAAUUACCGGACCAGUCGUCCCCCCUCAUUUUUCCUCUUUCUUCAGCCACUUCAUAACCGCCUCUUCGCGUUCCCCUUCUUGCGAUACGCGUGGCUUUGACUAACCGAUCCAACCUUCCGAAACGCUCUUCCGACCAUCGUGAUCGACGUUUUCCUUCGCAGUGAACUUUCUUUCGUCUCGUCACGCUGGCUUUGGGUAGUUUGAGUCACUUUGUCGGUUUUGUUGGGACCGGUGUUCGGUGCGAGCACUUGAUAGAUCCGUUGUCACGAUAGGUAUCGGUGGUAUCACCAGAUUUCCAGCUUGGUUUUGUACUUGUGAUUUUAUUCUACACGUGUGUGAUCUGUUACUUUACUUCCAUUAAACGUAUCUUGAGAGGGUAAAUUUUCUCGGAAUUUUCCAGUAAACGUAACGGAUAAGUUUCUUGGUACUUUUGGUAUGCAGUGUGACAAAGAACCGAUCAGUGUUGACGAGUAAAUAUCUUCAAAAUACAAAAAUCGUUCACAGUACAUUGUAAAUUUUCACAAUCACACGUAAACCAAGCGAUCGUUUGUUCCAAUCCAAUGACGUUUGCCGAGAACUUGAAGAAUAACAAAGAAACAUGGAUAAUUGAAAACCAGCUGCGUCCUUUUCAUAGCACAUAUUUCUCUAUUACACGAGCAGACAUGCGGGAACUAAUAAAGACGUCCAUCGAGCAGGAAUUAAAAACUUGUAGAAUAUCAACCGAAAUCCUUAAAUAAAAACGAAAUCGAUGAUAGGGGUUGAUAAGAAUCGUAAUAAACUAUUCUACCAAGUAAUAAGUAAACAAAUUCACAUGUCCACAUUUCUGCCUCGAUUAAGCAGCUGUAUACGAUGAAAACAAAUAACGAGAAAUAUACUAACGUAAUGGUGCAUAAGCUGGUGUAUAUUGCGGUCGAGUGAGAAUGUGAAUGAGAAAUCAAUGUAAAUCUGUCUCGUUCUGUAGCCGAUAAGCAGAAAUCAGUGAAACACGCACACACAAUGAUUCGUCUUUGGCAAAACAUGAUCUCAAUUAUCAUAAAAAUCAUAUAAGAGUUUACAAAUAAAUAACAAAUAUUUCAUUUACAUAAUAUGCAUAUAGCUACCAUACAAUUCGUUCAUUUUGCUUGAUUUUGUACAAUUUGAACAAAUUAUCAAAAUAUUUUUAUAACGUAAAAAAGUAUACAGAAAAUAUAAGCAACAUAUAUAUAAAUCAUCCUUAAAUUUUUAAGUCAUUCAUCGAUUCAUUCCAGAUGUUUCAUAGUCACACGUUGAAUCUGUCGAUUCGAGCGAAAUAUAAUCUAACUGAUGAAGCUAAUUCGAUGCUACUCAUCGCUACUGUAGCUAUACAUAUACAAAGUUUCUUCGACCUAUAAAAUCAGGGGAGAAUAUGAUUAAAACGAAACCCGUUUGAUACGAGAAAAGACGGUCGUUCGUAAAAAAGUGGACGAAUUACUGGCAAGAAUCUGGCAACAAAAAGAAAAAAGACAGGAAGAAGGAAAAACGUGUUCGUGAAUUUUAUAACGGUGAAGCUUAAACGUGCUUAAGUUUUGAUGAACGUCCGAGCGAGUCUGGAACCUACGUAUCUUGCAGCCAUCUGAUCCUUUACGGUCCUGCACAGAGAUUUAAAGGGGCGGGUCGUUUCUGGCCGCUCGUUCAGGAAGCAUCCCGAGGAACAGCUGAUCUUUUCGUAAAUGCUGGCCUCUCCGCAUUCCUUUAUUAAGAACCUGUGCUCUGUUCGCCUCUGGACGCGCCUCGAUUCGAAGAAGCCUUCACCGUGUGCCACGUGUUUCGAAUUAGACGAAUAUCCAACGUGUCGUUUCUAUUACAUUUUCUCUCUAUCGUAAUUUCUUUCUGUUUCGAAG